ACAUACGACCAUAGGAAACUGAAAUUUACCGGCUGAUUAGUAGUCAGGUGGGUGACCACUGGCGAAUCCCAGCUGUUGUAUGUU
rnacentral:rRNA from 1 species